rnacentral:rRNA from 1 species
AGGGUAAGUCAGGACCUAAGGCGAGGCUGAAAAGCGUAGUCGAUGGACAACGGGUUAAUAUUCCCGUACCAUUCUUUAUUGACAACGAGGGACGGAGAAGGCUAAGCUAGCCGGAUAUUGGUUACCGGUUUAAACGUUCGAGAUGUUGAGAAGCGGCGAAAACGCUUUGAGUUGAGACGUGAGUACGAGACGCUAAGGCGUUGAAGUAGUGUAUGUCAUACUUCCAAGAAAAGCUUGCACUGUCAUAAAUAAAGAAUGCCUGUACCAUAACCGACACAGGUGGGUAGGUAGAGUAUACUAAGGGGCGCGAGAUAACUCUCUCUAAGGAACUCGGCAAAAUAACUCCGUAACUUCGGGAGAAGGAGUGCCUUAUUUAUAAGGUUGCAAUAACAAGGUCCAAGCAACUGUUUACCAAAAACACAGGUCUCCGCUAAGUCGUAAGACGAUGUAUGGGGGCUGACGCCUGCCCAGUGCCAGAAGGUUAAAGAAGUUGGUUAGCAUUAGCGAAGCUGAUAACUGAAGCCCUGGUGAACGGCGGCCGUAACAAUAACGGU